GAUGAACGCUGGCGGCGUGCCUAAUACAUGCAAGUCGAGCGAACGGACGAGACGCUUGCUUCUCUGAUGUUAGCGGCGGACGGGAGAGUAACACGUGUAUAACCUCCCUAUAAGACUGGUAUAACCUCGGGAAACCGGAGCUAAUACCGGAUAAUAUUUUGAACCGUAUGGUUCAAAAGUGAAAGACGGUCUUGCUGUCUCUUCUAGAUGGAUCCGCGCUUCAUUAGCUAGUUGUUAAUGUAACGGCUUUCCAAGGCAACGAUGCAUAGCCGACGUGAGAGGGUGAACGGCCACACUGGAACUGAGACACGGUCCUGGCUCCUACGGGAGGCAGCAGUUGGUAAUCGUCCGAGAUGGGCGAAAGCCUGACGGAGCAACGGCGCGUGAGUGAUGAAGGUCUGCGGGUCGUAAAACGCUGUUAUUAGGGAAGAACAUAUGUGUAAGUAACUGUGCGUAUCUGGACGGUACCUAAACAGAAAGCCACGGCUAACUACGU
rnacentral:rRNA from 1 species